rnacentral:rRNA from 1 species
GAAGGGGGCUAGCGUUGUUCGGAAUGACUGGGCGUAAAGGGCGCGUAGGCGGCGAUGUAAGUCAGGCGUGAAAGCCCCGGGCUCAACCUGGGAACGGCGCUUGAUACUGCGUUGCUAGAGGACGGGAGAGGAUGGUGGAAUUCCCAGUGUAGAGGUGAAAUUCGUAGAUAUUGGGAAGAACACCGGUGGCGAAGGCGGCCAUCUGGACCGUUACUGACGCUGAGGCGCGAAAGCGUGGGGAGCAAACAGGAUUAGAUACCCUGGUAGUCCACGCUGUAAACGAUGUGUGCUAGACGUUGGGGGUUAAGCCUCCGGUGUCGCAGCCAACGCGUUAAGCACACCGCCUGGGGAGUACGGCCGCAAGGUUAAA